CCUACGGGUGGCAGCAGUGAGGAAUAUUGGUCAAUGGGCGUGAGCCUGAACCAGCCAAGUAGCGUGAAGGAUGACUGCCCUAUGGGUUGUAAACUUCUUUUAUAAGGGAAUAAAAUGUGCCACGUGUGGCUUUUUGUAUGUACCAUAUGAAUAAGGAUCGGCUAACUCCGUGCCAGCAGCCGCGGUAAUACGGAGGAUCCGAGCGUUAUCCGGAUUUAUUGGGUUUAAAGGGAGCGUAGGUGGAUUGUUAAGUCAGUUGUGAAAGUUUGCGGCUCAACCGUAAAAUUGCAGUUGAAACUGGCAGUCUUGAGUACAGUAGAGGUAGGCGGAAUUCGUGGUGUAGCGGUGAAAUGCUUAGAUAUCACGAAGAACUCCGAUUGCGAAGGCAGUCUACUGGACUGCAACUGACACUGAUGCUCGAAAGUGUGGGUAUCAAACAGGAUUAGAUACCCUUGUAGUC
rnacentral:rRNA from 1 species